CCCUUAGAUGUUCUGGGCCGCACGCGCGCUACACUGAUGCAUUCAACGAGCCUAUCCUUGACCGACAGGUCCGGGUAAUCUUUGAAUCUGCAUCGUGACGGGGAUAGAUUAUUGCAAUUAUUAAUCUUCAACGAGGAAUGCCUAGUAGGCGCAAGUCAUCAGCUUGCGUCGAUUACGUCCCUGCCCUUUGUACACACCGCCCGUCGCUCCUACCGAUUGGGUGUGCUGGUGAAAUGUUCGGAUCGGCCGUUUGUCGCGGUUUCCGCGGCUCGUGGCUGAGAAGUUCAUUAAACCCUCCAACCGAGAGGAAGGAGAAGUCGUAACA
rnacentral:rRNA from 1 species